UACGAAGGGGGGCUAGCGUUGUUCGGAGUUACUGGGCGUAAAGGGUGCGUAGGCGGGUCUUUUAAGUCAGGGGUGAAAGUCCUAGGAGCUCAACUCCAGAACUGCCUUUGAUACUGAGGAUCUUGAGUUCGGGAGAGGUGAGUGGAACUGCGAGUGUAGAGGUGAAAUUCGUAGAUAUUCGCAAGAACACCAGUGGCGAAGGCGGCUCACUGGCCCGAUACUGACGCUGAGGCACGAAAGCGUGGGGAGCAAACAGGG
rnacentral:rRNA from 1 species